rnacentral:rRNA from 1 species
AUGUUUUCCCCUCCGAUCUGUUAUCCCAGCUGGUCAGAAACAAUUCAAAUGGAAACCAAUGGGUUAUCUCUCAAGACUCAGGAAAUCGGGUCAAAAAGGAAGUGGGAGACUACCACAGACCUCAGCCGCCGCUUUUGCAGUAAUCAACAUGAAAAUCCAUGGAAUGAUGGUUCGCUCACUACCUCGCUAGGGAGCCAUAAAGAUUUCCGCUUUUGCAACCAACGUGAAAGUCCAUGGGAAGGCGGUAGAACAGAGCAUCAGGACAAAAUGAAUGGGAUAAUCACUUGUUUGGUUUGUGGCAAGGAAGGACAUUACAGUUGUGACUACCCUUUCAAGGAUCAGGAGCACAAAGUCAUUUGCACACUCUGUAGCAAAAAUGGCCACUGGAGCAUAUCGUGUUGCCAGCAGAACAAGUCGGAGAAUCGCGCUUGCACCCUCUGUGGAGAGAUAGGGCAUAGUACUAGUACACAUGGUCUCCUCAGUUGCUCAAGCUGUGACGAAUAUCAUCCGCAUGGAGAGUGUCGAUUGAGCAAAGUUAAAUGCUUUAUUUGUGAAAGUCAGGAUCAUUAUCCUGCUCAGUGCCCCUUGAAUUGGGUAUUGAAUGCAGCGUUUCAGGAUCAAAGAGAGAACUUCCAAGCUGCUCUGUGGCUUGCACUAUCAAAACAAGUCAACACAUUAUCUAAACGGACCUGCCAUCAAGUCAGUCCAAUAGCCAGGGCAUACAACUUAAGGCCAAGGAUAUGCUUUACAUGCCGUGAAGAAGGUCAUGUUGCCUUUUACUGUCCUCAGAAAAGAAGAUCAAUAUUGCCCGACCUAUCCAAAGAAUUUGAAGAGAGCAGCACCAUAGCUAAAUCCUCCAACCUGUCCAAAGAAUUAGAAGAACGGGACCCUGGUACUGCUAGUGCUAAACAAUCAUCAAAAAUGAAACCGGCAUCGGUUCUUCGAUGUGUUAGCUGUGGUCAGGAAGGGCACAGGGCAAGGAGCUGUCCAACACGAGUGUUUAUAUGCUCCUUAUGCAAUGAAGAAGGCCACCGGGCCAGGAGCUGUCCAACACGAGUGUUUAUAUGCUCCUUAUGCAAUGAAGAAGGCCACAAAGCCAAGAAAUGCCCUCAGAAGCUCCAGAAGCGUUAG